AGCGAACGUUAGCGGCGGGCCUAACACAUGCAAGUCGAACGCGAAAGGUCUUCGGACUGAUUAGAGUGGCGCACGGGUGAGUAACACGUAGGUAAUCUACCCUUUGGCGGGGGAUAACGUUCCGAAAGGAGCGCUAAUACCGCAUAAGACCACGGAGUCUCCGGACGCUGUGGGAAAAGGUGGCCUCUUCUUGAAAGCUAUCACCGGAGGAUGAGCCUGCGUCCCAUCAGCUAGUUGGCAAGGUAAUGGCUUACCAAGGCAAAGACGGGUAGCUGGUUUGAGAGAAUGAUCAGCCACACUGGCACUGGAACACGGGCCAGACUCCUACGGGAGGCAGCAGUGAGGAAUAUUGGGCAAUGGGCGAAAGCCUGACCCAGCCACGCCGCGUGAGUGAUGAAGGCCCUCGGGUCGUAAAGCUCUGUGGAGAGGGACGAAAAACCUGGGGUCUAAUAGGCCCCGGACUUGACGGUACCUCUUUAGCAAGCACCGGCUAACUCUGUGCCAGCAGCCG
rnacentral:rRNA from 1 species